GAUUUAUGUUAUUAAUAUGAGUUGGCUUAUAUAGGAUUAAUUAUCUAAUUUUUUUUUGUCUUUUGUGCCUAUUGUUACUCAGGCUUGCACCUGUGCCUUGCACCUUGUGCCUUAAUAACUAUGGGUGGAUCCCAUAUUUAUGUUAGUAAAGGUGCACUCCACUGGGUGUAUUUAAUAAUCUUCCUUCGUAGAGGAGGACGAUAAAGAAGAAGAAGGGUAGGAAGAGGAAGAGGAAGAGAGAGGGGAUGAGGGGAGGCAGCACCAUCUGUAUUCCAGAUAUUUUUUUUUUCUUUUCAUUUUAAAGCUUAGAAAGGACGAGGAGCAUCCUGGUGUUUAUGGAACAUGGCCAUUGGAGACCUUUUUGAUUCUUUGAAGUUUAAUGUUUAUUUUUUCUUUAUUAACUCUAUUGUUUAAUUUGUUUUUCCUUCUAUAAAUCCAACUGUCUAUUUUUUUUUCUUUUUAUGCUUUUUUCUUUUUAAACCAUCAGCCCACUUAUAAAAUAAAAUGCUUUUUAUCCUCUUGAAACCCUGGUGCCUGUUGGGCUUCCUUUUUUACAUUUAUUUGAUUUAAUACUAUCACUCCAUUUAUGAGAAAAGGACUAAAUAUAUUGCAUUUUUAAUUGAAUUUUUGGACCUUAGUUGAUUUAAGCCAUUUUUUAAUUGUUUGAAACUUUUCAUUAUAGUGGCAGCAGAUUCAGUCUAAUUCGAUGACACUUUUUCUUAUUCUGAAAAUGUUUCCUAUUCUGUUAUUCAAAGCCCUGUUUGAGUUUAAUAAAAGAGUUGCUUAAAAUAUUAUUUGUAGUUGUCGUGAAAGCACUGCAUCCAUUUUCUCUCUUAUAAUAAAAAUUUAUUUAAUUGAUGGUGGAAAGACUUGUCAGCGAUAGAUGGUAAAGCUGAACUGAAAAGGAUAAAGAGUCUUAUUGCUAGAACUUGGGUUUGAAAGAGUUUUUCUGAGGGAAAUUGAUGCUUGUGCUGUGGUUGUUAGAAAGGAUGAAGUGAAGUUGGAUAGUUCUUUGGUUGAAAUCUUGACUCCCAAAAACAGGGAAAUGAAGAAAAUGAAAAACAUUUUGUAACUUAAACUUUUGGUUAUAGUCAAGAAUAAGCUAUAGUUUGCAUCUUUUAGGAAGUGAAGAAUGGUGAUCCUUUUUGUUGUUGAUUUUCUGGGUCUAAUGAAUGACAAGGCUCAAGAUUGUUUAGAUGGUUUGGGGUAUUUGAGUGGGGUAUGAUGAAGUUAUUGUUUUUCACCUUUAAUCUGCUGAUGAAAUCAUUUCCUUAUUGUUUGAUAAUGAGGCUAGAUGGGAAAUGUUUUACAUUUACAGAUUUUCGGUAGCUGUCUGCUUUUAGAAUUAAUGUCUUAAAAGUUGUUUCUUACCCAUCAGUCUACGUUCUGAUGAUACUUCUAGGCUGGUCUUUCUUGUGGGUCACGAUUAAUUGCUUUUGUAUUUAGAUGUUCCAUUGGGAAGCAAUCCGA
rnacentral:misc_RNA from 1 species